GAGGAUGUAGCUCAGUGGUAGAGUGUAUGCUUAGCAUGCACAAAGUCCUGGGUUCAAUCCCCAGGACCCCCA
rnacentral:tRNA from 1 species